rnacentral:rRNA from 1 species
UACAGAGGGGGCAAGCGUUGUUCGGAAUUACUGGGCGUAAAGGGCGCGUAGGCGGCCUGCUAAGUCAGACGUGAAAUCCCUCAGCUUAACCGGGGAACUGCGUCUGAUACUGGAUGGCUUGAGUUCGGGAGAGGGAUGCGGAAUUCCAGGUGUAGCGGUGAAAUGCGUAGAUAUCUGGAGGAACACCGGUGGCGAAGGCGGCAUCCUGGACCGACACUGACGCUGAGGAGCGAAAGCCAGGGGAGCAAACGGG